rnacentral:rRNA from 1 species
UACGUAGGGGGCAAGCGUUAUCCGGAUUUACUGGGCGUAAAGGGUGCGUAGACGGCUUGGCAAGUCAGAAGUGAAAGCCCGGGGCUCAACCCCGGGACUGCUUUUGAAACUGCCGUGCUAGAGUGCAGGAGAGGUAAGUGGAAUUCCUAGUGUAGCGGUGAAAUGCGUAGAUAUUAGGAGGAACACCAGUGGCGAAGGCGGCUUACUGGACUGUAACUGACGUUGAGGCUCGAAAGCGUGGGGAGCAAACAGG